AAAGAUCGAAUGGGGAGAUUCAUCGAUAACGAGGCUGGCUUCCGUUGGCGUGCGAUACCCCGAAUGGUUCCCUUCGUGGUUCCAAUGCGAGGGCACACCGUCUUCGGCAAAUGUUCCGGCAACGUAGUCGUGCACUUCUCCCCUUGUAGAACGUCGCGACCCGUUGCGUGUCGGUCUACGGCACGAGUUGUUGACUGUCGGCGUCGCCUUCGCGCGUACACGACAGACGCUCGAUCGCCCGGCCGGCUGCGUGACGGUACACUAUUUUACGGUAUUGGGCCGCAGCUUGCUCCAUUUUCGAAUGGUAUUUGCGUUCAGGCCCGCCGCAAGCUCGGUUAGCAAAUUACCCGGAUGGUACGGACCUGGUGCCGGCUCCGGGCCUAGCCAGCUGUUGGCAGGCGGUGUCCUCGAACUGGCCAAACUUUUGUUUUCGAAUCACAUAUUACCGGUCAGCGACGCUACUGCUUUGGGUACUUUCAGGACCCGUCUUGAAACACGGACCAAGGAGUCUAACAUGUGCGCGAGUCAUUGGGACUCGAUUAAACCUAAAGGCAUAAUGAAAGUGAAAGUUGACCUUUGCGUCGACCGAGGGAGGAUGGGCCGCGUCACGAUGCGGCCUCGCACUCCCGGGGCGUCUCGUUGUCAUAGCGAGAAGAG
rnacentral:rRNA from 1 species